CGACAAUAGAGGAAGCCUAAGAACAUCCCGGGAGACGCCGCCUCAUGCGAAGAGAACACGACCCCUCACAGAUCUCCACCCGAGCGCGCAGGCGGCCGCCGCGGCCACCUCCCCAUCGCUAGGACCCCGGCCGGCCUCGGAGCAGGGGGCCUUCGGGGGCCGGACGAGGUCGCGCGAGACUUGGGCGCUCGCAGAGCCCCGGAGGCGCCGGCCGCGCGGGGCCGCCCCGGCUCUCCCGCCCUUCGCGCUGUCCCGCCGCGCGCCGCCGCCCCCAGGUUGCGGACCGUCGGGCCGCUGCUCCCGCGCAGACCGGGUCCCCGGGUCAGGCGGACGACGUGCAGAUGGCCAACAUGCCCAGCAAUUCUUUGGAUCACAGGUGGCGUUGAGAUGCUGAUUCUGCAUGGAAGAUUGUGGGUGGCACCCGCCUGCCCCAGCAGGUAGGCUCUCCAAGUGAACCCCCGUAAGCCAUGGAAUCAUUGCCAUCAUGUGUGGGUGAUGGUUGCUGAUGCUGAAUGAGGGGAUUGCUGAGUAUGCAACGAGGCAGCUGAGUAAACAGGCAUUUCCCUUCCCUGAUCUGAGACGAUGUUUCUCAAGUUGUGUGUGGUGUGAGGACCUCCUGAAUUGGGAUUAUUUGGGUGUCUGCGAAAAUUGCUUAGUGAAUCCAGCCUUUGGUUUACUCUCUAGAGAAAGUUUGGUUUAAUCUCUAGAGGAAAUCUCUAGAGAAAGUUCAGGAGUCUGUACUAUUUUACAAAAUGCAUUUUUAAACAAGCUCUCUGGAUGAAUCUUCUGAGAACUAAAAACCAUUGAUUCAAUAUCAGCAGGAUGAUACUUAAGACUUGCAAACACGUCACUUGACGGAACUUAAAGAGAGCACAAAGGCCCAUCUGUCC
rnacentral:lncRNA from 12 species